GAGACAGCAGCCGCCGCGGUAAUACAGAGGGUGCGAGCGUUAAUCGGAUUUACUAGGCGUAAAGCGUGCGUAGGCGGCUUUUUAAGUCGGAUGUGAAAUCCCUGAGCUUAACUUAGGAAUUGCAUUCGAUACUGGGAAGCUAGAGUAUGGGAGAGGAUGGUAGAAUUCCAGGUGUAGCGGUGAAAUGCGUAGAGAUCUGGAGGAAUACCGAUGGCGAAGGCAGCCAUCUGGCCUAAUACUGACGCUGAGGUACGAAAGCAUGGGGAGCAAACAGGAUUAGAUACCCCCGUAGUCCCUGUCUCUUAUAC
rnacentral:rRNA from 1 species